rnacentral:lncRNA from 1 species
UCUGAAUGAAUAUUUGAAAGAUAUAGUAAAAUACAAAGAAAAUAAAAUUCAAGCAUGAAUCCCACAUACAUGUAUUGCAGUGUAUAGUUCACAUAAAAACAAAAAACACAAAACAAUCCUCUGACAGAUUGUAUUUUCCCAAAAUGGCACAGCAAUAUUUCUGUUCUUACAUUCUCCUCUAGAACCUUGCCACUUCCCAUCUGGAGAUAGAAUCUCUUUCCCCUUUAUUUGAACAUAGGUGGGACUUGUGACUCCUCAACCAAUAGGAAAUAGUGGAAUGGAUGCAGUGUGCCUUCUGAGGUUGGGUCAUACAUGGUGACAUAGUUCCUUCUGGCUGCCUCUCAGGAUGUUCACCCUUGCAUUCAGCCACCAUGUGGAGAAGAAGCUCCAAGAGACCAUGGGGAGAAGCCUCUUGGAGAGGCCUGCCUGGAGGAGAAUUAAGAUCCCCAAUCAGUGUAAGCCACCAAAAGUGUAUAUAAGUGAAUGGGAGAAGAGGAAACAGAGAUCACAUAGCAUGCUGGGGGAGAGAGAAAGAUUUGGAGAUCUGAGUUACAGAAGAUUAUGAGUUCCCAUGAAUUGCUCUGUGAUUAAUACUUGUUACAGUGUUUAACACUGAGUGGAAGAAGAGGAUGCAGAUUCUAAGGAGUAAGAUGGACCAUCAACAUUUCUAAUUUGUGUCUGUUGUCUCUCCAUCCCCCUUAAUACACAUGUAUGUACAUACACAUGCAUAUUGGCAUUGUCACCUCAGUUAUUCAACGUCGCUCCCUUGUCCUUGACAUUCCAGUUAGGAUGCGACAGUCACUGUAUUCCUUUCCUUCUACCCCACAGCAGUGUCCCAGAGCAGAAAGGCUAUAUCUGAAUCAGAAAGAAAGAAUUAGGGCAAUGUACUUGAGAUUUGGAGAAACAUUUGCUGCCCUUUAGCUGUCUCUCUCAUGUCAGGCUUCACAGGUUUGGCAGAUACAUUUUAUAAUUUUGCCUAUAUCCAUUUUUGUUUAAGAUGAAGUUUUUCUUCUAUUUUUUAAAAGAAUAAAAGUGGAC